rnacentral:rRNA from 1 species
UAAAUACUCCCGAGAGACCGAUAGCGAACCAGUACCGUGAGGGAAAGGUGAAAAGAACCCCGAGCAGGGGAGUGAAAUAGACCCUGAACCCGUCUGCCUACAAGCGGUCGGAGCGUCGUAAUGACGUGACGGCGUGCCUUUUGCAUAAUGAACCUACGAGUUACCUUCCCCGGCAAGGUUAAGUUCUUGAGGAACGGAGCCGAAGCGAAAGCGAGUCUGAACAGGGCGCCAAGUCGGGGGGGGUAGACGCGAAACCGAGUGAUCUACCCUUGGCCAGGUUGAAGGUUGGGUAACACCAACUGGAGGACCGGAUGGGUAAGCGUUGAAAAGCUUUCCAAUGAGCUGAGGGUAGGGGUGAAAGGCUAAUCAAACUCGGAGAUAGCUCGUACUCCCCGAAAUGCAUUUAGGUGCAGCCUCUUUAUAGUAUAUCGUGAGGUAGAGCGACUGAUUGGAUGCGAGGGCUUCACCGCCUAUCAAGUCCAGAUAAACUCCGAAUGCGCGAUAUAUAUUUACAGGGAGUGAGGGCGCGGGUGCUAAGGUCCGUGUCCGAGAGGAGAAGAAUCCAGACCACCGGCUAAGGCCCCCAAAUGAUCGUUAAGUUGAACUAACGAGGUCGGAUCGCAGAGACAGCUAGGAUGUUGGCUUGGAAGCAGCCAUUCAUUUAAAGAGUGCGUAACAGCUCACUAGUCGAGCGAUCUGGCGUGGAUAAUAAUCGGGCAUAAACGAUCUGCCGAAGCCGUGGAUGUCGCAAGACAUGGUAGGGGAGCAUUCCAUGCCGCGUCGAAGAUGAGGGAUGACCCUUGUUGGAGCGCAUGGAAAAGCAAAUGUAGGUAUGAGUAACGAUAAGGGGGGCGAGAAACCCCCCCGCCGAAAGACCAAGGUUUCCUGAUCAACGCUAAUCGGAUCAGGGUGAGUCGGGACCUAAGGCAAAGCCGAACGGCGCCGCCGAUGGAAGAAUGGGUUAAUAUUCCCAUACUGCCUCAUGGAGUGACGUGGAGACGGAGAAGUGACAGUCCUGCCGGCUGACGGAAUAGCCGGUUGAAGGGUGUAGAUAUUGAUUCCCGUAGGCAAAUCCGCGGGGAGAGUCGAACCUGAGAGUAUACGGAGCGCUUGCGCAACGUAAUAUGGACGUAACCAUGCUCCCGAGAAAAUCCGCUAAACUUAUCCAUGCGGCACCCGUACCGUAAACGGACACACGUGGUCGGGUUGAGAAUACUGAGGCGCUCGAGUGAUUCACGGUUAAGGAACUAGGCAAAUUGACCCUGUAACUUCGGGAUAAAGGGUCCUCGUCGUAAGGCGAGGCGCAGAGAAUAGGUCCAGGCAACUGUUUAACAAAAACACAUGGCUGUGCUAAAUGGAAACAUGAUGUAUACAGCCUGACACCUGCCCGGUGCCGGAAGGUUAAGAGGAGAUGUCAUCCGCGAGGAGAAGCGUUGAAUUGAAGCCCCGGUAAACGGCGGCCGUAACUAUAACGGUCCUAAGGUAGCGAAAUUCCUUGUCGGGU